rnacentral:rRNA from 1 species
UAUAUGAAGGUGUAUAUAGUUUAACCUGCUCACUGAUUAUAUUAAAGAGCCGCAGUAUUCUGACUGUGCGAAGGUAGCAUAAUAAAUUGUCUUUUAAAUGGAGGCUUGAAUGAAAGGUUGGACAAAGUAUCAUCUGUUUCUUAAAUAUUUAUUGAAUUUGACUUUCAAGUGAAAAGGCUUGAAUGAAUUAAAAAGACGAUAAGACCCUAUAAAUCUUUACAAUAAAUAUAUUAUAUAUUUUAAUUUAUAAUUGUAUAAGAUAUUAAAUAUUAUAAUUGUUUCGCUGGGGCGGCGUAGAUAUAUAAAUAAACUGUCUAUAUAUUGAAUUCAAUAAUUAUUGAUUAAUAAAAUUGAUCCUUGAAUAGAUUAAAAGAUUAAGAUACUUUAGGGAUAACAGCGUUAUUUUUUUUGAGAGUUCUUAUCGAAGAAAAAGUUUGCGACCUCGAUGUUGAAUUAAAGUUUCUCUAUGGUGUAGCCGCUAUAAGAGAGAGUCUGUUCGACUUUUAAUACUUUACGUGAUCUGAGUUCAGACCGGA